rnacentral:lncRNA from 1 species
UUGUAUUUGGUUGCCAUCUAGUGAUCUAAAGCUCAAAUUGCACCAAACAACAAUUGGAAAAUUACUUUCAGCAAGAAUACACACUUUAUUCAGAAAUCAUCACUACAAAGGAAAAAUUGCCAAAGCAAACUAAUGGGAAAAAUAGAUGAUCUUGCUCUUUAUUUUUUUAACCUCAUAUCAAGAAAAACAUCUGAAUAAUAAUAACUACUAAGAAUAAAAAUACAAUGAUAACCAUUAAUAAAAUUACAUCUCUACUAAUGAAAUAAUGAUUUGAUAUUGUUUCAAAUCAAUCUAUUGUAUAUUGUCCUGGGCAGAGGUUGGAAACAGAGGAUACAGUGUGACUGAAAACACUGCUCCCUUCAUUCCAAUUGGCUGGAAUCAUCAGAGUUUGGGAGGAAGAGCACCAGUUCAUGUAAAGGCCUGCCCAGCAGGCCAAUAGUCUUUGGGCAUGUUAUUGCCCUGCUCAGCUCCACACUUACAAAGAGGCAAUGGGCUGUUUGCAUUCCUCACUCACACAGAGGGACUUGUGGGGAUGUGCAUGGUGACAAGCAUCCAGAAUGGUAGAGAUUGAGGAUAAAGAUACACAGUACACAGCACUGGGAGGAAGUUAUAGUAACUCCAGCUAUAAAGUUGACAACAUAUCCAGAGGGUGGAAAUACCAACAUGAAAACAUGUCUCUGAAAACUGCUCCAGAGUGGCGCGAAGGUUCACCUUCCAACAGGAAAACGACCCUAAGCACACAGCCAAGACAACACAGGAGUGGCUUUCAGACAAGUCUCUGAAUGUUCUUGAGUGGCCCAGCCAGAGCCUGGACUUGAACCCGAUCGAACAUCACUGGAGAGACCUGAAAAUAGCCUUGCAGCAACUCUCCUCAUCCAACUUGACAGAGCUUGAGAGGAUCUGCAGAGAAGAAGGGGAGAAACUCCCCAAAUACAGGUGUGCCAAGCUUUGUGUGUCAUACCCAGGAAGACUCCAGGCUGCCAAAGGUGCUUCAACAAAGUACUGAGUAAAGGGUCUGAAUACUUAUGUAAAUGUAAUAUUCUGUUUAACGUUUAAACAAUUAGCCAAAAUGUCAAAAAACCUCUUUUGCUUUGUCAUUAUGGGGUAUUGUAUGUCGAUUGACAAGGGGAAAAAAAUGUUUAAUCAAUUUUAGAAUAAGGCCAUAACCUAACAAAAUGUGGAAAAAGUCAAGUGGUCUGAAUACUUUCCAAAGGCCCUGUACAUGGAUGGGGUUAUCUCAAUACUGUGCUCUGCAUGUACUGUAAAUGCAUUGUGUAAUAUUAGUCAAACGGAUUUCCAACAUUUCCAGUUUGCCAGAUUAUCAAUGUCGUUAUAUUUAGCUAACAAGUGUGAAGUCUUCGUGUCAACAGUAAAUCUAUUUUAGUUUUAUGUCAACAUUCUAAAAUAUGCAAAUGUUUCGUUCUCAUUUCUCACAGCAACUGGAAUGAGCUGCAAAAAA